GAAAUGCAGGCAGGGGUUGAGGGAAAUGGGAGGGGAGCUCACCGGUGUCCUGAGCGGGACUCCUCAGCUGGGGGUUCAGGUCUCCAGCUCUCCGGUCCAGCCGCAGGGCCUUAUAUAGCGCGGCUGGUGGCUCAGCCUGUGGCAGUGCGCCAGGGGAAGCGCUGCGAAACCAGAUCUGAGCAUGGGGAAGCUCAGCCUCCCCAUCCCCUCCCCACAUCCCCUGGAGCUCCCAGAGGCCCCGAUUUCACUUCCAGAUCCUUAGGGGGAGAUGCCGCAGGACCUAGGGAAAGGCCAGGUGGGCAGCUGCCUGGGGCUCCCCAGGCCAGAGCAGAGAGACAUUUGGGGAGGUAGGAUGGGCACGGGGAGCAGCCUUGGGAAGGGGCCAGGGGCUAUUCUACAGCUGGGCAGCAUUUCAUGGCUCAGGGGGUAGCGUGCUCUUGCCUAAGCUUUGCGCUGAUCCCUACAUUCCCCUGGCCCUGGCCUGCCCAUGCAGAGAGAGAACUUUGCUGGUGUUAGCACAUACUCCAAACUCUCUUAGGCACACAAGUCACCUGGUCUCCCAACUGAGGGUAGGGCCUGGUCUGAGCUGGAUGACUACUCAGCUUCUCUGGCCCCUGAGGGAGCAGACAGAGAAACUUAGGGAAAGGAACAAAGGAAUUAGAGGACACAGGAUAUCACCUGGUGAGAACAGUUCUUCCCUGCUCCUACCUACUUCCAUCUGGGGGUCUGUCUACGGCCACUGGACCCCAGAGCCCCUGCACCUAGACUCUCUGAGACCUUGCUGGACCGUCAUAGGUGUGUAUAUGUGUCCGACUUCAGGUGUGGGGCCCACUGGCAUAUGCACAGCCUUACCCAUAGGUGGCGUAAGCAGCUGCGUGUGCUUCUAGACUUGAGCAGCCUCCCUGCCAGCAGGAAUCUGCCGGCUGGCCUUCGCAGCCGUUCUACAGCUUUCACAUGCAUUAGAAUCCCCUGGAGGGUUGAUUGCUGGGCCCCACACGGAGCUUCUGAUUCAGUAUGUCUGAGGUGAGGCCUGAGGCUGUAUUUCUAACAACUGCCAGGUGAUAUUGAUGCUUCAUGGACUACAUUAGAGUCCCAGCUGGAGGCAGAUGGAAAGGGGUGUACUAGGAACCCAGAGCAAGAGCUUCUAGGACCCACCUCAUGGGCCAGGCUCCUCAGGCCUGGGCCGGGCUUCCUGCCUCAUGCCAGGAUGGGGAGAUGGAGGCCUGGUCCCAACAGCAUCAAUACCAAAUGUCGGCUCACUCUUUCCAUACACCCUCAUCAAGCUCCUAUUCCAUGGCAGGCUUUAGGCUGAGCGCUGGGAGGCCACAAGGGAGGAGACACGUUCUUGCUCUCAGAGAAAGGAGCCUCACAUGGGGUUCACUGGAGCAGUGAGAGUUGGCACCGCCCUGCUGCUUCCCCAGGAACUACACUCAGCAUCUCAGCAGCAAACCGCCCUGGCUUCCUAAGAUACCAGAAAAUCCUAAAAGAGAUUACUUUUUGGUUUGGGAAGGCUCAAACUUUUUUCCAUAUGAAUUAAUGGUUCGCCAAGCCUCUGCUGGAGGUGGACGCAGGGCUGCAGCCCCACCCAACUGGGUGGGCCGAGAGACAGGAAUGCUGCUCAGCACAGCUGGCCGGACAGGGGAGACUGUUUAUUCUCUGCUGUCGGGAACAUCCCAGACAAUCAGGGGGAUUUGGCUGCUGGCAGCCCCUGCAUUUGAGGACUCCAAGGAGUCAGCUUAAUCAGAGCAGGAUGAUGGCCCGAGCUCCGAGAAGGCAGCAGGGGUGGAAGAGAGGGCCCACCCCUCCCUGCCCCACAUUCUAUGCCAUGUGCCUCUGAGCUCACCUCCUGGGCCUGCAGCGAUGGGCGGGAAGGUGAAUGGAGCUGAACCCUGAGCUCUUGCUAAUAGUGUGGUUGUCGGGUGAGACCUCCUAUGGUCCCCCUCCCAACACCCCAGGUGCCCCCAGCUUAUGAGUUGGGAGACAUGGCAGGGCCUAGGAAGGGAGCUCAUUUCUGCAGCCCCCAGACUUAGUAUUGCCCAUUCCAACCUCCCUACACCAGCCUGGAUCCUUCUUGCUCAUACAGCCCGUAGAAGCUGCAGCCUUGUGCUUAUCUGCCUUUCUUAUUACUCUAGCUCCAGAGUCGGCUUUGGUGUGGCCUCUUUCGGGCCUUUUCACCUUGGGCAAGUCACCUCUCCAGGUCUGGUUCUUCUGUAAAAGAAAGAUUAUGGUAUCUGUCUUACAAGGAUCCUGUGAAGAUUAAGUAAUUCUUUCAAUACACCCACCAUGCAGGAGGCAUUGGAGAAAUGGUAGUGCCUUUCUCUCCCAUUCUUUGUGUUGAGCAGACCCAACUUCUGGUCUUCCUGAGGGCCAGGCCCCUCCAGUGUAGCUUACAUCUGCCCUGGUCGCAUUACCUAUUGAUGCUCCCAGAUCUGAGUGCCCUGGGGUUCUUUAGGCUGGAAGCCUUUCUGGAGCAGAGUCCAAGUUGACCCAAGGAGGCCCUUGAUGCCAAAGCUACAGAAGACCCCAGAAUACAGUGCGUUUUUGGUGUGUUUUGCCCAUUUCUAAUUUUGCACAGGUCUGAGUGCCUUGUCCAAGUGUGUGUGGGGGGGGGGGCGGGGAGGGUGUCAAGAAAAAUUCAUCAAUCCUGACUCAUUGGUUUGGAAUUCAUCUUUCUAUGUAUUUAAUAAAGGGUUGACACCAAAAAUAAUGAAGUUCCAGGAUGGCAAAGGGUGUUAGUUAAGGACUUCUCCCCACUGUAUCCCCACAAGAUCCAAUUUAAACUCUUAAAUAAAAAGAAUUUACUGGUUGCACAGUGAGAAGUCCAGCUUUAGGCACAACCCAACUCAGUACUCAACAUCAUCAAGACUCCGUUUCUCUUCCUCUCUUGGCUCUGCUCUCCAUUGAGUAACACCAGGACCAGACUCUCAUGGAGGAAGGA